rnacentral:misc_RNA from 1 species
CAAAGCCAGCCCUGCGGUCACCAACCCGCCUAGCCAGCGUGGUGACUAUGGGCAAAAUACAUGAGUUCACGCCGUUUUUGGCGUGAACUUGUGGAGGCCUAUGUCCAGUAGUGGACUGCGAAAGGCUGAUGUGAUGAUGAUGUGAUGACAGUUCUCAACGGCAACGCUGUCUUGAAACGUGCAUGGCUUUGUUAAGUUCACUCCCGCUGAAAUACGUGUUCAAUUAAAGAUACCAGCUCUCAAGCCGAAGACAAAUAUAAGCCAAAAUAUUCUUCCAGACGAGGAUUCAAAGCAAGACACAGCAAAGCAAAUAUGAUGUCCAUUGUACUCUCAUAAAGUUUAAUAUUAAAAUUAUAGUUUUGAUGUUGUG